rnacentral:rRNA from 1 species
UACGAAGGGGGCUAGCGUUGUUCGGAAUUACUGGGCGUAAAGCGCACGUGGGCGGAUAUUUAAGUCAGGGGUGAAAUCCCAGAGCUCAACUCUGGAACUGCCUUUGAUACUGGGUAUCUAGAGUAUGGAAGAGGUGAGUGGAAUUCCGAAGUGUAGAGGUGAAAUUCGUAGAUAUUCGGAGGAACACCAGUGGCGAAGGCGGCUCACUGGUCCAUUACUGACGCUG